CGUUCGGUGCGUAAAGUUCGUGGGGUUUAAGGCAAUAAAUCCAUGUUUUCCCCUCUCCUGAACCAGCCCAGCAUGAGUGCGAGACCUGCGCGUUUUCCACACGUAAAAACAUGGAAAACCAGGCGGCUCGGCACCAAUCCGGGUACCCCCGCUAUGUGGCGAGCCGGAGGGUGUGGGAAGAGGGAGCCCUGCUCUGCCAUGGUGCUGGUUACCACCGAUCCAGAGCCGCCCAGAAACCCGAAAUCGAGCUAAAUGCAGAAAAAUAACUUGCGGAAACUUGUUUUCUUUGGGAGCGACUCUGCUGCUGUGUUCGGGAUGCCGCCUCUCCCAGUAAACAUGCUUCUCAAAGAUAAAUAACGUGCAGAAAAGGCCAGACAUGCUCCGAAAAGGCAAAUACGAUGUAUUUUCAUCCUCCUGGGGGUAAUUAGUUUUAUACAGCAUUUGCCAUUCAAAUCCAAAUCACUGGAAUGCCGCAUCGUUACCAGCCCGUUCCAGCCCUACUGCCACAUCCAGUCCUUAGAAAGGACACAAUAAAAACUAUAAAUAUACAUUCCUCCUUCAUUAAUCAUAUGGAGUGUACCCUGAUAUUUUUUCCAUCUCAGCUUGUUUCCCACUAAAUUAUAUUUUUACAAUGCACACGGUGUCCUUGCUUAUUUUAUUAUUGACUAAUUGAAUUGUCUCGUUCAGGACAUAAAUUACAUGGGACUGGGGCUGGAGGUAACCAGGAGAGAGCCAGACCCGCAGGACAUGAAACAUGGGUACAUCCCCUGCAAAACACGUUGCAAAACAUUUAACAACGAAUUUUAAAUUUUUUGUUCCAAAAAUCCAGGCUUUUACGCUGGUUGUGAGACUCCUGUUAAGGAAAGUUUCCCUUGAUAACCUCGGUGUGUGUGGCAAGGGGGUCCCUCAGCCUCCUCUGUCAGAGAUUCCAGAUCCACAAAUCCCUGCUGCAGUGCAGGUGGGCUGCAGGCACUUCAGCACUUCAAACCUGACCGUGCCUCCUCUCCAGCAGCCUCUCCUGCUGACUAAAGGGCUGCCUGUCAGGUUAGGCAGGAACAGCUGUCUCCAAAACUGUAUUUCAGGAUUCACACAGAGGUUCCUUCUGAUUGUAUGGAACAAC
rnacentral:lncRNA from 1 species